GUUAAGAAUCUUGCGCAAUGGGCGAAAGCCUGACGCAGCGACGCCGCGUGGACGAUGAAGGCCUUCGGGUUGUAAAGUCCACUAAGCAGGGAAGAAUAAUCAGCGGGUAAUAUUCGCUGUGAUGACGGUACCUGCCUAAAGCCCCGGCUAACUACGUGCCAGCAGCCGCGGUAAUACGUAUGGGGCGAGCGUUGUUCGGAAUUAUUGGGCGUAAAGGGCGUGUAGGCGGUUUGUACAGUCAGAUGUGAAAUCCCUGGGCUUAACCUGGGAGCUGCAUUUGAGACGUGCAGACUAGAGUGUGAGAGAGGGUUGUGGAAUUCCCAGUGUAGAGGUGAAAUUCGUAGAUAUUGGGAAGAACACCGGUGGCGAAGGCGGCAACCUGGCUCAUUACUGACGCUGAGGCGCGAAAGCGUGGGGAGCAAACAGGAUUAGAAACCCCGGUAGUCC
rnacentral:rRNA from 1 species